rnacentral:rRNA from 1 species
UUUUAUUUGAGAGUUUGAUCCUGGCUCAGGAUGAACGCUGGCGGCGUGCCUAACACAUGCAAGUUGAGCGAUUUACUUCGGUAAAGAGCGGCGGACGGGUGAGUAACGCGUGGGUAACCUACCCUGUACACACGGAUAACAUACCGAAAGGUAUGCUAAUACGGGAUAAUAUAUUUGAGAGGCAUCUCUUGAAUAUCAAAGGUGAGCCAGUACAGGAUGGACCCGCGUCUGAUUAGCUAGUUGGUAAGGUAACGGCUUACCAAGGCGACGAU